UAAGCCCUAUGAAGCCAUGCCUUAGCCAUCCAUUUGGGCAUCCAUAUGAAGACUUGUAAGGCUAUAAAUAAGCCAUAGAGGGACAUCUUUGGGAAAUCUUUUGAACAUCUUUUGAACAUUGUAGUCUCUUGUAUUUCGGCCUUAGGCUUGGGAGGGCUUUGCCCUAUUGUAUUCGGUCCUAGAGUGUCUCUAAGGACUUGGGCUAGUGAGAACCCAUCAUAGUUCCACUAGAUUAUGCUUGUAAGCUUCAUUUUGGGAAUAGAAUCCACCUCAAGCUUUCCUCUAAAUCCACUUGUGUUCUUGAGUUGUUUUCAUUCAAGCCAAGGGUCGGGUCAAGCUGCAGCCAGUAGGCCCUCCCCUUGCCUUGAUUCCCUUGGCUACUAAGUGCUCGGCACACAACCGGCGUUACCCGUUCGGCCCGCGUUCCUACGUUCUAAGGCAUCCGCAAGGAGCCAAGGUGCAAGGCUUGGUGUGGCGGCUCGGGGCCGAGAGACGCCCUCCAACAUGGAACCGCGUGCGGCACUCUGCCCCAAGGGAGCACGUGGCCCGUUCACCAUAGCACGUGCCCGCUACGGUUUAAAAUCCACAGCGCGCGCUGUGGUUAAAAAAAAAUGGAAUAUGUAGCCGGUACGCAUGCAUACCGGUCGGUACCAGCCCGAAAACAGCUGGAACCGGUAUCCAUGUUGUUCGGGUAUCGGUUCCAGGCCGGACCAGUCUGUACUGGGCCGAACCGGCCGGUACGGACCGGUUCGGCAAACCAUGUUUGCAACAAUAAAAUUUCUAUCUUUUCAAGACAAUAAACAAUAUUAAUGUCUGUUGUACG
rnacentral:lncRNA from 1 species